AUUGAACGCUGGCGGCAGGCCUAACACAUGCAAGUCGAGCGGAUGAAGGGAGCUUGCUCCUGGAUUCAGCGGCGGACGGGUGAGUAAUGCCUAGGAAUCUGCCUGGUAGUGGGGGAUAACGUCCGGAAACGGGCGCUAAUACCGCAUACGUCCUGAGGGAGAAAGUGGGGGAUCUUCGGACCUCACGCUAUCAGAUGAGCCUAGGUCGGAUUAGCUAGUUGGUGGGGUAAAGGCCUACCAAGGCGACGAUCCGUAACUGGUCUGAGAGGAUGAUCAGUCACACUGGAACUGAGACACGGUCCAGACUCCUACGGGAGGCAGCAGUGGGGAAUAUUGGACAAUGGGCGAAAGCCUGAUCCAGCCAUGCCGCGUGUGUGAAGAAGGUCUUCGGAUUGUAAAGCACUUUAAGUUGGGAGGAAGGGCAGUAAGUUAAGACCUUGCUGUUUGGACGUGACCAACAGAAUAAGCACCGGCUAACUUCGU
rnacentral:rRNA from 1 species